rnacentral:tRNA from 1 species
UCCCUGAUGGCUCAGAGGUUAAAGCGUCUGCUUGCUAUGCGGGAGACCCGGGUUCAAUCCCUGGGUCGGGAA